AUGAUAGAAGGUCACCUACAUGAUCAAGAAGGUAGUUCACCCAGGGUGAGGCUCGGCCAUUGCACUCUGACUGUGCUGAGCCCUGUGAAUUCCCCAAAUGUGGGAAACUCGACUGCAAGAUUUCUGGUAGUGGGGGUCUGCUUUUUUUUUUUGUUCUUCU
rnacentral:snRNA from 1 species